UUCACCUGGCCUGGGACACCUUGGCAUCAGUUUGGGACUGAGCAGAAGUCUGGCUCUCAGAACACCACCCAGACACCUGUGGUAAAGCCCAAGACUUCUGCUCAUCAGGACAUCCUGUAAGGGACCGUUCAGAUGGAUGGAACAAAUUGCUUCCUUUCCUUAAUUUCGACAUCCACGGCCUAGUAGCCAGUUUCCUUAAUGGUGGCCUUCAAGGUUUGGUAGCAAAGACUCCAAGAUCAGCUCUAACCCAUCCCUACAUUGUUCAGCGACAAUGAUCCUAGUGGUGAAGGCAGCGAAAAUGCUACUUAAAAUUGGAGAGGUGGUGCUGCAUUGGUCCCCUUGUUGUACGAAAGGAAUCGCUGGAGCUUUGGGGACAAGAAGUGCCAACGGCCACGACAACUGUACACAGGCAACAGUAUCGGAGGAACCGAGAUGCUGUGACCCCCAUCCAUCCAUCCAGUACAUCCAUGACAUCAUUGUGUGGGGGGACACAGCAGAAGAAGUUUUCGAGAAAGGACAGAAGAUCAUCCAGAUUCUCCUCGAGGCUGGUUUUGCCAUCAAGAAGAGUAAGGUCAAGGGCCCUGCCCAAGAGAUCCAGUUCCUAGGGCUGAAAUGGCAAAUGGACGACACCAGAUACCAACAGACGUCAUCAACAAGAUUGUAGCCAUGGCUCCACCCACAAACAAGAAAGAAACCCAAGGUUUUCUGGGAGCCAUUGGCUUCUGGAGGAUGCACAUCCCAGAGUACAGCCAGAUGGUGAGCCCUCUUUACUUUGUGACCUGUGAAAAGAACAAUUUCCAGUGGGGUCCUGAACAACAACAAGCUUUCAGGCAGAUCAAGCAAGAGAUUGCACAUGCCGUGGCUCUUGGAGCAGUCAGGACAGGACCAGAGGUAAAGAAUGUGCUCUACUCUGCAGCUGGAGAUAAAGGUCCCUCCUGGAGCCUCUGGCCAAAGGUGCCUGGUGAGACGUGAGGGCGACCACUGGGUUUCUGGAGCCGAAGCUACAGAGGUUCUGAGGCCAAUUCCACCCCUGUGGAGAAGGAAAUCUUAGCAGCCUAUGAAGGCAUACGAGCAGCUUCAGAGCUUUCAGAUUCAGCAAUGUCCUCACUCCUGACAGACCAGGGUCCC